rnacentral:rRNA from 1 species
UCAGAAGCUAAGCAGGGUCGGGCCUGGUUAGUACUUGGAUGGGAGACCACCUAGGAAGACCAGGUGCUGUAGGCA